rnacentral:rRNA from 1 species
GACGAACGCUGGCGGCGUGCUUAACACAUGCAAGUCGAGCGGGAUUUGAGAGCUUGCUCUCAAAUCUAGCGGCGGACGGGUGAGUAACACGUGGGUAAUCUGCCCUCAAGUGGGGAAUAACACAGAGAAAUCUGUGCUAAUACCGCAUAAUGUAUGCUAGUCGCAUGGCUGGCAUAAAAAAGAUUUAUUGCUUGAGGAUGAGCCCGCGGCCCAUUAGCUAGUUGGUGAGGUAAAGGCCCACCAAGGCCACGAUGGGUAGCCGACCUGAGAGGGUGAUCGGCCACAUUGGAACUGAGACACGGUCCAGACUCCUACGGGAGGCAGCAGUGGGGAAUAUUGCACAAUGGGGGAAGCCCCGAUGCAGCAACGCCGCGUGAGCGACGAAGGCCUUCGGGUUGUAAAGCUCUGUCUUCGCUGACGAAUAAAUGACGGUAAGCGAGGAGGAAGCCACGGCUAACUACGUGCCAGCAGCCGCGGUAAUACGUAGGUGGCAAGCGUUGUCCGGAAUUAUUGGGCGUAAAGGGUGCGUAGGCGGUUUUUUAAGUGGGAUGUGAAAUACCUAGGCUUAACUUAGGAAUGGCAUUCCAAACUGGAAGACUAGAGUGCAGGAGAGGAAAGUGGAAUUCCCAGUGUAGCGGUGAAAUGCGUAGAGAUUGGGAGGAACACCAGUGGCGAAGGCGACUUUCUGGACUGUAACUGACGCUGAGGCACGAAAGCGUGGGGAGCAAACAGGAUUAGAUACCCUGGUAGUCCACGCUGUAAACGAUGAGUACUAGGUGUGGGGGGCGAAGCCCUCUGUGCCGCAGUUAACACAAUAAGUACUCCGCCUGGGAAGUACGAUCGCAAGAUUAAAACUCAAAGGAAUUGACGGGGCCCGCACAAGCAGCGGAGCAUGUGGUUUAAUUCGAAGCAACGCGAAGAACCUUACCAGGGCUUGACAUCCAAAGAAUCCUGUGGAAACAU